rnacentral:rRNA from 1 species
UUUUUGUGGGGUGAUGGCGUGCCUUUUGAAGAAUGAGCCUGCGAGUCAGCGGCAUGUCGCGAGGUUAACCCGUUUGGUGGGGUAGUCGUAGCGAAAGCGAAUACUAACUAGUGUGUUGUCAGUGGCAUGUCCUGGACCCGAAGCGGGGUGAUCUACCCAUGGCCAGUGUGAAGCAGAGGUAAGACUCUGUGGAGGCGCGAACCCACUUAGGUUGAAAACUGAGGGGAUGAGUUGUGGGUAGGGGUGAAAGGCCAAUCAAACUCCGUGAUAGCUGGUUCUCCCCGAAAUGCAUUUAGGUGCAGCGUCGUGUGUUUCCUCCUGGAGGUAGAGCUACUGGUUGGUUUAGCGGGACUAUCAUCUUAGCGACAUCAGCCAAACUCCGAAUGCCGGUGAGGUCAGAGCACGGCAGUGAGACUGCGGGGGAUAAGCUUCGUAGUCGAGAGGGAAACAGCCCAGAUCGCCGGCUAAGGCCCCUAAGGGUGUGCUAAGUGGAAAAGGAUGUGGGAUCGCGAAGACAACCAGGAGGUUGGCUUAGAAGCAGCCAUCCUUGAAAGAGUGCGUAAUAGCUCACUGGUCGAGUGGUUCUGCGCCGACAAUGUAGUGGGGCUCAAGUACACCGCCGAAGCCGCGGCAAUCACCUUUGUGGUGGUUGGGUAGGGGAGCGUCGCGUGACUGCUGUGAAGCGCUGGGGUAACCCUAGUGUGGAGUGUGCGCGAGUGAGAAUGCAGGCAUGAGUAGCGAAUGAGGAGUGGAAAACUCCUCCGCCGAAUGACUAAGGGUUCCUGGGCCAGGUUAAUCCUCCCAGGGUGAGUCGGGACCUAAGGCGAGGCCGACAGGCGUAGUCGAUGGAUAACGGGUUGAUAUUCCCGUACCCGUGUGUCCGCGCCCAUGGUGAAUCAGGGAUACUAACCCACCUGAACACGCGCCGUUUACUAGCCUUUUAGGUUGGUUGGUGUGUGUGAUGCUGGGGACCUGAACUGGUAGUAGCCAAGUGAUGGGGUGACGCAGGAAGGUAGCCGUGCCACGUGAUGGAUAUCGUGGUGUAAGCGUGUGGCCCGUGUUCUAGGUAAAUCCGGAGCACAUAUAGGGUGAGGCGUGAUGCGUACCCGUUUUGGGGAAGUUGGUGAUCCUAUGCUGCCGAGAAAAGCCUCUAGCGAUGUGGAUAUACGGCCCGUACCCGAAACCGACACAGGUAGUCAGGUAGAGAAUACUAAGGCGAUCGGGAGAACUGUGGUUAAGGAACUCGGCAAAAUGCCCCCGUAACUUCGGGAGAAGGGGGGCCAUGACUGGUGACCGACGUGGUUGAGCUGGUUGUGGCCGCAGAGAAUAGAGGGAAGCGACUGUUUACUAAAAACACAGGUCCGUGCGAAGACGGGUAAGUCGAUGUAUACGGACUGACGCCUGCCCGGUGCUGGAAGGUUAAGAGGACCUGUUAGACCCCUUUUGCGGGUCGAAGCGGAGAAUUUAAGCCCCAGUAAACGGCGGUGGUAACUAUAACCAUCCUAAGGUAGCGAAAUUCCUUGUCGGGUAAGUUCCGACCUGCACGAAUGGCGUAACGACUUCCCUGCUGUCUCAACCACAGACCCGGCGAAAUUGCAGUACGAGUAAAGAUGCUCGUUACGCGCGGCAGGACGAAAAGACCCCGGGACCUUCACUAUAGCUUGGUAUUGGUGUUCGGUUCGGUUUGUGUAGGAUAGGUGGGAGACUGUGAUGCCUCAACGCCAGUUGGGGUGGAGUCGUUGUUGAAAUACCACUCUGAUCGUAUUGGACAUCUCAACCUCGGCCCGUGAUCCGGGUUAGGGACAGUGCCUGGUGGGUAGUUUAACUGGGGCGGUUGCCUCCCAAAGAGUAACGGAGGCGCCCAAAGGUUCCCUCAGCCUGGUUGGCAAUCAGGUGUUGAGUGUAAGUGCACAAGGGAGCUUGACUGUGAGACUGACAGGUCGAGCAGGUAGGAAACUAGGGACUAGUGAUCCGGCACCGGCUUGUGGAAGCGGUGUCGCUCAACGGAUAAAAGGUACCCCGGGGAUAACAGGCUGAUCUUCCCCAAGAGUCCAUAUCGACGGGAUGGUUUGGCACCUCGAUGUCGGCUCGUCGCAUCCUGGGGCUGGAGUAGGUCCCAAGGGUUGGGCUGUUCGCCCAUUAAAGCGGCACGCGAGCUGGGUUUAGAACGUCGUGAGACAGUUCGGUCUCUAUCCGCCGCGCGCGUAGAAACUUGAGGAAGGCUGUCCCUAGUACGAGAGGACCGGGAUGGACGUACCUCUGGUGUGCCAGUUGUCCCGCCUGGGGCAUGGCUGGUUGGCUACGUACGGAAGGGAUAACCGCUGAAAGCAUCUAAGCGGGAAGCCUGUUCCAAGAUUAGGUUUCUUUUGAGGUCCCCUAUAGAUGAUGGGGUUGAUAGGCCGGAUCUGGAAGCAUCGUAAGGUGUGGAGGUGACCGGUACUAAUAGACCAAACACUCAACACACAAAGU